rnacentral:rRNA from 1 species
AUUGAACGCUGGCGGCAGGCCUAACACAUGCAAGUCGAACGAGUGGCGGACGGGUGAGUAAUGUCUGGGAAACUGCCCGAUGGAGGGGGAUAACUACUGGAAACGGUAGCUAAUACCGCAUACCAUCGGAUGUGCCCAGAUGGGAUUAGCUAGUAGGUGGGGUAACGGCUCACCUAGGCGACGAUCCCUAGCUGGUCUGAGAGGAUUACCAGGCACACUGGAACUGAGACACGGUCCAGUCUACUACGGUGGGGAGCAGUGGGGAAUAUUGCACAAUGGGCGCAAGCCUGAUGCAGCCAUGCCGCGUUUAUGAAGAAGGCCUUCGGGUUGUAAAGUACUUUCAGCGAGGAGGCGUUACUCGCAGAAGAAGCACCGGCUAACUCCGUGCCAGCAGCCGCGGUAAUAC